rfam:Brassica rapa chromosome A3, whole genome shotgun sequence.
GGCCAGUGAUGCAAUCAAAAUAUUUGCUAGUCUUGAUGAAGAAAUUCAUUUGAUGAUUCUUUUACCACCAAGAUAUCUGAGGCC